rnacentral:rRNA from 1 species
GACAGAGGAGCCAAGCGUUGUCCGGAUUGACUGGGCGUAAAGCGCACGCAGGCGGUUCGGCGCGUGGGGUGUGAAAGCUGGCGGCUUAACUGCCAGACGCCAUCCCAUACGGCUGGGCUCGAGCCCUGCAGAGGUCCAUGGAAUUGCCGGUGUAGUGGUGAAAUGCGUAGAGAUCGGCAGGAACACCCAGGGGGAAACCAGUGGACUGGGCAGGAGCUGACGCUCAGGUGCGAAAGCGUGGGGAGCGAACCGG